AUGUCUAAGAUGAUGAAGGGUCGUAGCAGCAGCAGUUGGGCCCCCUGCCACGGCCGGCGGGCCGAAGAAUGCAGAAAGGGGGCCGGGGGGACCCGCCCCCAUCCGGUCCCAGCCGUAAACUCCAACGUGGAGAACCUGCCCCCGCACAUCAUCAGCCUGCUGUACAAGGAAGUGACGACACUGACCACAGACCCACUCGAUGGUAUCAAGGUCUUUCUCAACGAGGAGGACCUCACCGACCUCCAGGUCACCAUCACGGGCCCUGAGGGGACCCCAUAUGCUGGAGGUCUGUUCUGCACGAAACUCCUGCGCUGGGCAUCCUACAGUGCUGCUGACCAUCAAGUGCCUGCUGAUCCACCCUAACCCCGAGACUGCACUCAACGAGGAGGCGGGCUGCCUUUUCUUUGAGAACUAUGAGGAGUAUGCGGCUCAGGCCCGUCUGCUCACAGAGAUCCACAGGGGCGCUGGUGGGCCCAAUGGCAGGGCCGAAGUUGGUCGUGCCCUAGCCAGUUGCACUGCAGCCUCCUCCACGAUCCUGGGGCCCCAGGGGGGCCCAGCGGGGGCUGAGGGUCCCAUGGCCAAGAAGCUGGCGAGUGAGACAAGAAGCUGGCGGCCAAGAAAAAGACGGACAAGAAGCGGGCACUGCGGCAGCUGUAGUGGGCUCUCUUCCUCCUUCCACUGCAACCCCAGUCUCUCCUGUCCACUCCCUCCAACUCUGUCUCUAAGUUAUUUAAAUUAUGGCUGGGGUCUGGGAGGGUACAGGGGGCACUAGGACCUGGAUUUGUUUUUCUAAAUAAAGUUGGAAAAGCAAAAAAAAAAAAAAAAAAAAAAAAAAAUGA